rnacentral:lncRNA from 1 species
GGGCCAUUCCGAGUCCCGCGGACGAAGUUCGCCCACGCCCCCCACCAAGGCUAUAGCCCACCCGUUUUUUGGCCAUUUUUCCACUGGGGGGUCGUGGGACCCCGACCUUUGGGGGCUGAUUUUUGGGCGCGGCUGUGCCCGUGGCCUAUUUUUGGCACACGGAGGCCGCCCGCCAAGUAUGGUGCCAUUCCGAGUCCCGCGGACGAACUUCGCCCACGCCCCCCACCAAGGCUAUAGCCCACCCGUUUUUUGGCCAUUUUUCCGCUGGGGGGUCUUGGGUCCCCGACCAUCGGGGGCUGAUUUUUGGGCGCGGCUGUGCCAGUGGCCUAUUUUUAGCACACCGAGGCCGCCCGCCAAGUCUGAGGCCAUUCCGACUCCCGCGGACGAACUUCGCCCACGCCCCCCACCAAGGUUAUAGCCCACCCGUUUUUUGGCCAUUUUUCCGCUGGGGGGUCUUGGGACCCCGACCUUCGGGGGCUGAUUUUUUUGCGCGGCUUUGCCCGUGGCCUAUUUUUGGCACACGGAGGCCGCCCGCCAAGUAUGGUGCCAUUCCGAGUCCCGCGGACGAAAUUCGCCCACGCCCCCCACCAAGGC